rnacentral:rRNA from 1 species
GACGUAGGGCGCGAGCGUUGUCCGGAAUUAUUGGGCGUAAAGGGCGCGUAGGCGGCCACGCACGUCCGUUGUGAAAUCGCCCCGGCUCAACUGGGGAGGGUCACGCGAUACUGAUCGACUCGAAGGCAGGAGAGGGUAGUGGAAUUCCCGGUGUAGUGGUGAAAUGCGUAGAUAUCGGGAGGAACACCAGUGGCGAAGGCGACUACCUGGCCUGUUCUUGACGCUGAGGCGCGAAAGCUAGGGGAGCAAACGGG